AAAGAAGGCCAUUUGCAACAGAGAGUGGAACUUUCGCCAACCCACAAUCUGGAGGCUUUGAGGUCAUUUGAAGGACACAUCAUUUCCCGCAACCCAUGAAAUGAUGUUCAGCUGUUGUGAUCUCUGAAUACUUGUUGAAUUAACCUGUUUCAAAAAGAGGCCCUUUGCAACAGAGAGUGGAACUUUCGCCAACCCACAAUCUGGAGGCUUUGAGGUCAUUUGAAGGACACAUCAUUUCCCGCAACCCAUGAAAUGAUGUACAGCUGUUGUGUGUUGAAUCAUCUUGCUUGAAUAAUUGA